ACAGUUUCAAUCCCCAUUUGAUGGAUGUGUAGUAUCUGUUCUUUUCAGUUUAAUAUCGAUAUGUCUUUGAUGUGAAGACGCUGUGUUAAGCAGCUUUUUGGAGAAAGGAGGUGGGUUGGGAGCUUGCUCCGUCCCCUCCACACAUCGGUCUGGUAUUGCUUUGCUUCCAGGAGAAGUGUGAGAAGC